AUUGAACGCUGGCGGCAUGCCUUACACAUGCAAGUCGAACGGCAGCACGGACUUCGGUCUGGUGGCGAGUGGCGAACGGGUGAGUAAUGUAUCGGAACGUACCUUUCAGUGGGGGGAUAACGUAGCGAAAGUUACGCUAAUACCGCAUAUUCUGUGAGCAGGAAAGCAGGGGAUCGCAAGACCUUGCGCUGAUUGAGCGGCCGAUAUCAGAUUAGCUAGUUGGUGGGGUAAAGGCCUACCAAGGCUACGAUCUGUAGCGGGUCUGAGAGGAUGAUCCGCCACACUGGAACUGAGACACGGUCCAGACUCCUACGGGAGGCAGCAGUGGGGAAUUUUGGACAAUGGGCGAAAGCCUGAUCCAGCCAUGCCGCGUGCGGGAAGAAGGGCCUUCGGGUUGUAAACCGC
rnacentral:rRNA from 1 species